UUGUCAAAGUUUUGGCUAAGCCCAUCUUAUCUCUUUCUCUGCCCGACCACUCCUUCUCUUUCUCCCACGCCACACACUCUCCCACCUAAACCUAAACCUAGGUCACCUUCCGCCGCCGCCUGACUUGCCGGCCGAUUUGCUCACGUUGUUGCCGCAUCUCCCACCACCAGCUGCGCCUCCCAAAGCCUCCUUCUAGCAUGUGCUGCUUUCCCAUGUUCCAACCCCAAGGUGACGCCUUAACAGAAGGCAUGGGAGGAGAAGAGGGAGGGAGAUCCACCGCGACCGAAGCAGGCCAGGCGGCAACCAUGGCACACCCAGAUUGUCUAGCGCCGUCGACAUCGAGCUCCUCCGCUCCCAGUGCCAGAUCCGCAUCAGCCUCCAUCUCCACAACCAUGCACCUACAGCCGCCAUGGAAGGUGCUCUGUGUGCUUGCUUCUUCCCUUCCUAGGACGCUGCUGCUCCGACGCCAUGGACAAUUAGAGGAGAAGAGGACAUGUCUUGGAACCCAAAUUUCCUUCAUGAACAAAUGAAGCACAAUCCUUUGCAGUAGCUGAAGUUUCAGACUGAGUACAUUACAUUGCAGCACCUGAAGUUUCAUAUUGAAUAUAUUAUGUUGGCCACCUGUAUUUGGAAAAUUUACCUGAUGUAGCAUGUACAUUUAGUUUCCUAGAAGGCCAUUGCGCUUGUCAUUAAUUAGCAACUCACAUUCCAAAAGUGCUGGUGGAAAAUUUUGAAAUUAGUAGUGCAGUUUGCAUCUUUGUAAUAGAACAUGUUAUAAGAUCAAU